rfam:Gossypium arboreum cultivar AKA8401 contig_11633_3, whole genome shotgun sequence.
AACCCAUGGUAAGGGCACCUUCUCAAUAAAUCCUUGUAUCUCUCUCGUGCAUCAUAUAAGGUCUUUAAGUCGAUUUGAGCGAAGAAAGAUAUAUCAUUCCUCAACUU